rnacentral:lncRNA from 1 species
UGAUGUCUAUCAGAUAUAAUGACUGUAUUUGCUUGGAAUAUUAUACUUAACAACACGCGCUGUUUGUGGGUUGCGCCACGUCAAUCAGAAAUAGCAGUUUCAAUUACGUGUGCUAUGACGUAAUUAUCAACAUUACAGUAAUUAUUACGCUGCGGCCGAAGUCUUUGAAGUUCAAUUAAAUCACCUUAUCGUCUAUGUAACACAAAAUGCGCUCGUAUACUUGAAUCAUUUUCCUUAAACGGCAAUUAAAUGUUUGUUCCUAUUUAGGAAGAACUAGAAAUAGCCGCAAAACAUUAAAAGCACCAGUAGAGUGAUUUCAACUCCAGCAGUCAUAAAAUUGUAAAAAAUUAGAGAACAAGUCUAUGCUUGUCAUUGAACAAGUGUUAAAGAGAAAAUAAAAUAUUUUUCAUUGUAUAAAUGUCCCUCAUUCAUGGGAAAAUUUUGAUUGAUAAUUCUGGUUUGCAUUAAAGUUUAAAACUAAUGAUAGCACGCCUACUUCAUGUCAUUUACAAGGUUUAUUGUUUUAUGCGGGAUUUCAACUUUUUGCCGUAUCAUUACAAGUAUGCUCAAAUAUUGUUAAAUAAUGUAGGAAAUUUGAAUAGUCAUUGUUAAGGCUCUGUUGAAAAGGAAUUAUCAUGUCUGCGCGAAAUAUAUAAAUUAUGUUAUUUUUAAGGGCUUGGGCAAAUCGUUUUGUAGGAAUGUUUAUCAAUUACUCAUGAUUUCGCAUUGAAAUCAAGGAGGUUACAUAAUUCUUGUUUAAAGUUGAAUUAAGUUGUAGCAAUAAAAUAUAAUUAAUAGAGAAUCAUUUACAGAAAAGGUCAGGUCAUAACAAAUGUUUUUUUCCCCAAGGGAUGAUCAAAAAUGACAAAAUGUUAUUCAUUUAAAAGGGAGAAAGAAAGCCGAUAGAGAAGUACAAGUGAAUUACUAGUAUACAACCAUAGCAGCAAGCCACAAGAUGUCACUUGAAUUUACUGCCACUGACAAUGUUUUUAUCAGUUUUAAUUACUAGAAGACAACGGCUCUUUCAAUGAAGAAAGGUGGAUCGGUUUCUAAAGAAAAUGUGUUUACUUGCUAUUCGCUAUAGAGCAGGUAGUACGAACGUCUGGUAACUGUGGAAAACCUUGAUUAAUAUCUCAAGCCAGAGAAUGUUUUCGUUAUCAAUACAGGUGUAACAGACUAGAGUCUAGAAGAGGCGGGAUAAAUCAGGAUUGCUGCUACGGAAGUCGAAGCAUUGACAACUACUUGUUUUCUUAAUUAAUGGAAGGAGACUUUACCUGGCUUCAUAAAUUUGGAUCUGAUGUUUAUGUAAUGGACGUGUAUUGACAAUCGGCAAAAGCGUAUUUUGGCAUUCUUCGGCCAUAACAGAAAAAGCUCUUUUUCAGAACAACCGGAAAAUGUCGAAACCGCAUUCGGAGGGUACGCAAACGAACGGAAAAGGCCGAUUAUCCGCACGGGUCCACUAACUUCAGUGAAAUCGUCUUCUGAAUGAAGAUGUGAUUGCUGUUCAGAAUAUUUUGACUGUUUAAAUUGAUUAGGUUUUAGUUUUACGUUUAUUUAGUUUGCUAAAAUGUAAAGAAGAUUCUUUUUUCCCCAAGUACUGCUGCAUCGUUUUAUAUUUGGAAUUUGCUAAUAGUCUUGCAUAUUUCGAACGGAUGUGACUUUUAAAGUAUGUGUUUCAUACAUACCUCCAUCUAAAUUUUAACUUCACAACUAAUCAAUGCAUGCAGCUUCGAAAAUGGAAAUGACAAAUGUAAUUUGAACAUCAUCAAAAAAGCCAAAACAUUGUACAACACAUUUUAGACACUAGGAGGAAUGAAGUUCCUGGUCACAUGCUUAACUGAAUUCCUGGUCCGAGUAAAGACUUUUUGGAUGGGUUCCAUGACGCGUAGACUUAAUAUGAACGUUUGGUAUCUGAUUCAUUUCAAAUUUAGCGAACUCUUUUUCGUUAUCAGUACAGCUGUAUCAAAUAAGGCGGUGCAAUGUCCAGUAGGACCAGCCGCAUUCUAAGAACGCAGUACGUCUUUAAAAUCAAACCGACAAUGGUAUACAUUAUGUUUGGAUGUAUUCGUAACUGAUAUAUUAACAAAAUAACAUAACAAAUUAAACAUGUACUCUACAGGGACAAUAACAAGUAAAUGAACAUAGUGGUGUAUGAAAAUAAAAAUAGUGAAAACAUAACUGGAGUGUUUAAAAUAGAAAAAAGUGGAAACUCCACAGAUCGCUCAACACGACAAAAACGAAAAUGUUGCAGGCUCGGUUCGAUUGAGGACGGUAGUGAGAAUACAUGCUAAGCCUCAGUUGUGCACAAAAUCUCACCUUUAAUCUCAUUUAAGUUACACAGUUACAAGGCAAUGUAUGCAAUUUACCACCACCAGAUGAAUCCCUGCCACAUGCUAUGGUAACAACAGGCAUAAUAAUGAUCAUAGAUAUAAAAAGAUAAUCGAACUUUAAGUCACGAUUGUUGUUACAAAUGUCGAGGCAUUGACAACUAGAUGUUUUCUUAAUUAAUGGAACAGAUCCUCAAAUGAUUAAGAUGAAAGGUAGAAACACUUUUAUAAUGGAAGUAGAUCCAUAUGCUACUUUUCAGAAUAGGUUCAGUCAUUUAAAUUAUUGGGUACGUGUUGUGUAAAUUAAAUAUAAAUGAUAUUGUAACAUUCUGUUAAACGUCUAAACAAUUUUAUCAGCACAAAUGGUAAUAAUUUUUUAUUGGAUUAUGUCUGAAUAUGGCCUUCGUUUGCUCCCACUAAUGCAAAGAAAUGAAAUUACAAAAUAAAGAAAUAAAUAGAAUAAAACAAGCUUACAGAAUUUAAAUUAAGUUUUAUAUUCAGAUGUUUUAAAUGGCACACUUUAGCCUUGCACAACGUUUUAAUUUCUCACAAAAUGUCUCGUAUAACCUCUAAUUUGACUCUUUCUAGUCGACAUAAUGUUAAAGAAAACCAAGAGUGUUCGAUACUCUUCUGAUUCAUUUUUCAUUUCUUCUUAUAAAUGUACAAUAUAUUUAAGAGGUAUUGAUGGUUUAUACCAGAACAGAAACAUUCCUUUUUUUAAAGUUUAAAGUCUUGGAUUUAUUUCUACUAGUUUGCCAAAAUAACUGUAUAGAUAUGUUUCAGGGCACUAACAAACUGCCUUGCCAGACUUUUUCAUUUAUUAACAGUAAAGGUUACGACCUGAUAAUUUGCUUUGCUCUUUUUACAAUAUCAUAUUUUGUAAUUUAAAUGGGGACAGAUUUAGGCCGUAUUGUCUAAAUUGUCUUAUCUUGUAAAACGUAUUUCAAAUACUAUAACCACUGUUUAGACAUGCCUAUGCAUAAUAACUGUAGUUCAGCUAAGUUUAUAAUGCUAUUGAAUACUUAUAUAUUAUUAAUCUAAAUUGCAGAACAUGCUUUUAAAUUGUUUUACAGGACAUUGGAAGACAGUACUUAAUUCUCAUCCAUUUAGACAUUUAAACCAUUCAGUCUGGAAAGUCUUCUUCAGUUGCCCGAAGAUGCCACUAUUUCCAUAUCACAAAUAUUCACGUGAACUCUAUGCUAAGCAGUGAGAAAAAGAAAAUCUAAAGCAUCUUUCCAGAACAGGUAUUAUGAACGUUUGGUAACGGUGUGGAAAAUCCUGAUUUAUAUCUUCCAUUGGAAAAUGUUUUCGUUAUCAGUACAGGUGUAACGGAUUGUUGUCUAGAUGAGGCGGGAUAAGUCCAAAGUGUUGUUACAGAAGUCGAAGCAUUGACAACUACUUGGUUUCUUAAUUAAUGGAAAACAACACAUUUUAUAAAAACGGUAUGUCAGAAGAUGAAAACACUACCAUGAAAAAAGACAGAUUCGAUUAUUUUUCUUUGUAUUUUGUAUUGUUUAUAUUAAAAUAAUUUGAGUAAAGAACUUUAAAUUGCCUUUUUAUCUCUUUUUGUAG